AGAGAAACAAAUUCUCUAGAGAAAUAAAUUCUCAAAAAGAAGAGAAAAAAAUUCUCAAAUUUUAUUAAUUCUCAAUAAUAAUUUCAUAAUAAGCUCUCUCUAAUAAAAUAGCUGGACGUAGGUAUUUAUAAUAUAAUUUUAAUCCUACUACUAGGGGUAGAAAUCCCAAAAUAAGGCAACACUAAACCAAUACUGAUUAGGAAUCCCAAAUUAACUUAAACUCCCUAAAUAAAAUACUACUUCUUAUAUAAUAAUAAAAUCCUAAAUA
rnacentral:misc_RNA from 1 species